rnacentral:lncRNA from 1 species
GCUGCAGCAAACAGACGAACCUCUGGCUUUACCACCUCUCUCUAUUCUAUAUAUUGGAGCUAAACGACCUAACGAUCCUCUAGGGUACUGCUUUCUCGUGUCUCUGCUUCCUAACGAAUACCACGGCCUGCCUCUGUCUCUCUUCCCUAUUACUACUACUCUGCUCUUUCACUCAUCCAUCAUCUAUGUUGCUGUGCUUCUUCUGCUUCCAUCCCUAUUUUAUACUGGUUGUGCGCCGCUGCUCCCAAUGAUCACUUCCCUCUCUGCUGUCUCUACUACAUAAUAAUAACCUUCUCUCUCACUUGUUUCUGUCCCAUCUUACUUACUAUAUCAUCCGUUCAUCGACACUACUACUUAUUAUUAGUGCUAGUAGUUAGUGUGUUGGGCUCUGUGUCUCUGCUAUCUCUUGUGCUUGUUAUCCAUAGACUAACCAACCAUCUAUAUAACCCUCUAGGCCUGCUCACUACUUAAUAGGUCUAUCAUCUAUCCGGAUGUGUGUUAUCAGUGUCUGUCUUAUCGCCAAGCAGUAACGAUACAAGAGCUCCAGUUAACGAUACAACCGAAGAGAAGAGAAGCUAGCAUCUAGUUCCCGGGGCCCAUACUUAAACUAGUAAGUAGUGUGUGCUGUCAGUGCUUUUUUGUCCCCGUAGUGGUGUCACAGGAAAGAACGAACGCACAGAAGAUGCAUGAGCGAUAUGGCAACUCUCUGUGUCGAUGGAAGACCUGUGACCAUGGACUAACAACAAAAGACUAGCACGAAAUACGAGAACGACGACGACUCUAU